ACUUUCUUUCCUUUCAUCUCCUCUCCGGUCUCCAUUGGGCGACCUCUCUUUCCCACCUCCGUCACGGCAGCCAACCACUCUCUUCCCUUUCCCCAACGGCUUCACUCUCUCGCACUCGUCUAUUACCCAGCGCGCCGCCGCUCCUCACCGUCCCUCCGCCUACAGCUCCUACCCCAACCCCAACACUGACCUUCUGAACCCCAGGUCCACUUGAGGGCGCCGCCCAUCCUAGAAGUCGUCCAGUCUUGCCUAGCCCUGGGCGCCUCCUCCAUCCCCGACCCUCUUCAUCACGUGUGGCGGCCGGGCUUUGCCUCCUCGUCCCUCAUCUCUCUAGAUCAGCGCGCUCCGACACCACCAAGAGAGGAAAGCGAUGGCAAAACAGGAGAUUCGGGCAAGAGAGAAGAAAAGAAGAAGCUAUGUUGCCUCCAUCCACGACCCUCUUUGUCGGGUGCGCCGACUGGUCCGGCUCUGCUUCCUCCACCACAGCUCUACACCCUGACGCCUCUGCCUCCAUCAGUACAUCCCUCUCUUGCAGAUUCACCGAAGAGACGAUCAAGGUAAACAGUCCAUGAGAGACUCACUGAGUUGGACUUGCGGAGGAGUGUUUCGGGUGGCUUUACUAUGAUGACCGAAUUAUAGGAAUUUCUGACUGUAGGAACAACGGAAAGAUUGAAAUGUAGUUCUUGGAGGGAUAUUUGUAUGAGCAGCGUAUUUCCCAUUGUAGUUCUAUCUGCGUGGUUUCUUAAUACGGAUGAUGUAUGAAUUGGCACCAGUGGUCGUCUGGGGUUGGGGCACCGAGUGCGUGUUCUCCGAAGAGGUGAUGUCCCCACAGGUAAUGGCAUGGAGCAGGACAAUAAGGUAUAAGUGUUGUUGCAGCUGGUUCUAAGUAAUUGCUUAUGUCCUGCAACUUUUGUAUGGUUUGGUUUUCCUUCCAUUCUAUGGCUUCUACAAUACAACAUUUUUUCUACAAGUGAGUUCACUUUGUUGCUUGCUGCAAUCGCUUGUGAGUUAUUCUGUUCUGGUGUAGCUUAAAUGGAGGUCAGCUACUAUAUCAAAUUUAAGACCUUAUUUAGUUUCAGAGAUUAUUUCACCGUCUGAUGGAUGGGUUAGUACAACUAGACAAAUCGUAGAGCCUCUUUCUGGACUAAUUGGCGGAUUGUUUAAUGUGGCAAUGCUUCAAUCUAUAAAGUUAUUUGGUGACAAACAUGGUGCAGUCUACAAAGAAGGGAUCAGAAGAUUAUUGAGGAAGCACCAGAUGAAAGGAUUUAUUACCUGACAAAGCACUGGAUUUUUUUUCUUUGAACAAAAUAACAUUUUGUGUUUUCCAUUUGUAUAUUCUCUGCAGCCAAAUGUGCCAACGGAGUUUUGGACUCGUAUUGUUGAAGCUGCUUUAACUGCUACAAAGGUGAUAUAUUUGAUACUUUCACACAUUAUUGUAUGCUAUGGUUUAAGAUAUAGAUUUAAUGUUCUUAUGAGCUAUUUCUCUAUUCUCCACACCAGUAGUGUAGGGACCAAGCUAUACAACCUUUUCUUACAUCAUACAAAUGGAAAAUAUGCAAGCAAAUUAUUCCAUUUAUUGAGUGUAUUUCAAGAUUCCGGUUUUCUUUUUACCUAUUUAUAAAGUGGGGUUCAUUAACUUUUUAGGAAGCAGUAUUGAACUUAACACUUGCAAACUACCUACUUGGUUUCUUGUACAAUAACAUCAAAUAUUUGCUUUUUUUCACUAAACUUUCGAUACUAGAUUAGGUUUGGUAAGUUUUGAAAUCUUUGCAAUAGGAUUGUUAUAUCUUUGCAACUUUACCACUUCAUAUUCUUUUUGUUUCCCACUUCAACCAAUGCUUCCAAGUAACAGAACAUUCAGAUUCAGGUAUGGUAUCUUUUCCCCAGUGUUUUAUUUAUUUUGCAGUACAUUUUAUUCAUAUACAACAACUUGUUAGAAAGUUUUGGGUCAAGGGUUGGUAGCAGUAUGGUAGUGCAAAUAUGAUGUAUUGCAUCCUGAACUAGAGAUUACAUAGGUUUUCAGUUAACAUGUCAACUCAAGUAGGCUGAUUGAUCAAACUAUAUUGUUCAUCCGUCCUUGUCCAUAGUAAACUGGCAGAAAAGAGCUGCCAGUACACACAUGUUAAUUCAUUAAGUGCACUACUAUACUUUUGUGAAUAAAAUCAUGCAUUGUUACUUAAAGACAUAACCAAUAAUAUUUAGUUUGUGUGGAAAUAUACCAGAGUUGAUACAUGGAAUUUACUUAUAAUGAAGAAGUCAAUAUAAUGAAAUCUUCAUAUCAUGUAGUCACAUCUUUCCAUCUGCAGUAAAACAUGACAUUGUGUUUCACUUCCUUAUGGAUUUUUACUUCGUGUAGGCUACUAUAGUGGUUAACCCGAAGCCUUCCCUCAACAACCUGACAUGGAAUCCUGUUAUUGCCAAACUGAAGUGGGUAUAGAGUUCUACUAUUUCCUUGUGAUGUAUUUAUUUUUUCAAAAUCCCUUUGCCAUUAGUGAUACUGCAUUAACUUCUAUGAAAUAUUCAAUACGACUAGAAAUUUUACCACAGGACCUUCGAAAAUUUUCUACUGAAUCCUAGAUUACGUUAAAGAAAACAGAGCAUUAAGGAGACAUUGAUAGUUGAUCAAGUUACUGCUUAAUUAAGUUAGUGCUUCAUUACCUGACAAUUUGAACAUGAGGAGAAGCUGCUCUCCAUUCCGGUGCUCCUUUGUUUCAGUUGCACAAUACAUAUUUUCGAUAUUGAUGAUGGCACUGAAUCACUGAUCAGAGCAUGCUUGCAAGCCAGAGUAGCAGGAGAUGGCGAGAGGAAGCUAAAGAGGCAAAAGCAGAGAGGAAAUAGCAGUGGAGAAGAGAGCAGGGAACUGGGUGGAGCUAGGAGGGGGAGGGAGGCGCAACGCCGAUGGCUAUGUUUGUUUCGGUGUACAUUUUACUUGGUCACAGAACUGCUAAUGCCCCUUGGUCUGUCAUAAUGUACAACUAUGUAGUGUCACGUAUUGUGUCUUCUUGGUACCAACUUUCUUAUUAUGCUAUCGGUUAUUGUGUAGUUUGCAUACAAAUACUAUUGUGCAUCAUUUCCUGUACAAUUUUUUUGCUCUGAACACUGAAGCGGUUUAUCAGUGAAGAUGAUUGUGCUGGACCGGCGGUUGCCCGGUUUCUCCCUGGUGGG